GGAAACCGGGAUUAAUACCAAAUAAAAUACAUAAUGACACAUGUCAUAACGAUCAAAACUCCGGUGGUCUAAGAUGGACUCGCGUCCCAUUAGCUAGUUGGUAGAGUAAAAGCCUACCAAGGCGACGAUGGGUAGCCGGCCUGAGAGGGUGAACGGCCACAUUGGAACUGAGAAACGGUCCAA
rnacentral:rRNA from 1 species